UAUGGAGCUUUAAUUAUUUAACCCAACACUUCCUUUAUUCUACUCUACAAUGAGCCUAACCAAGGAAAUCCCUGGGUUAAAAAUUUUGGUUGGGGUGACCUCGGAGUAUAAAUCAACCUCCGAAUGAUUUUAGCCUAGACCCAACAAGUCAAAGCAAUUAUAAUCAUAAAUUGACCCAAAUAAUUUGAUCAACGGAACAAGUUACCCUA
rnacentral:rRNA from 1 species